GUGGACGCGGUGCAGGAGGCGCGCGGAAUACGGCGGGGGGCGGGGUUGGUCGGUGGUCCGGGGCGUCAAGGGGGCGCAGGCGGCUGUGCAAGUCAGGCGUGAAAGCCCCGGGGUUAACCUGGGAGGGGCGUCUGGGACUGGGUGGGUAGAGUUCGGGAGAGGAGAGUGGAAUUCCCAGUGUAGAGGUGAAAUUCGUAGAUAUUGGGAAGAACACCGGUGGCGAAGGCGGCUCUCUGGACCGAGACUGACGCUGAGGCGCGAAAGCGUGGGGAGCAAACAGGAUUAGAUACCCCGGUAGUC
rnacentral:rRNA from 1 species